rnacentral:rRNA from 1 species
CCUACGGGAGGCAGCAGUGGGGAAUUUUGGACAAUGGGCGAAAGCCUGAUCCAGCAAUGCCGCGUGAGUGAAGAAGGCCUUCGGGUUGUAAAGCUCUUUUGUCAGGGAAGAAACGGUGAGAGCUAAUAUCUUUUGCUAAUGACGGUACCUGAAGAAUAAGCACCGGCUAACUACGUGCCAGCAGCCGCGGUAAUACGUAGGGUGCAAGCGUUAAUCGGAAUUACUGGGCGUAAAGCGUGCGCAGGCGGUUUUGUAAGUCUGAUGUGAAAUCCCCGGGCUCAACCUGGGAAUUGCAUUGGAGACUGCAAGGCUAGAAUCUGGCAGAGGGGGGUAGAAUUCCGCGUGUAGCAGUGAAAUGCGUAGAUAUGUGGAGGAACACCGAUGGCGAAGGCAGCCCCCUGGGUCAAGAUUGACGCUCAUGCACGAAAGCGUGGGGAGCAAACAGGAUUAGAUACCCUGGUAGUCCACGCCCUAAACGAUGUCUACUAGUUGUCGGGUCUUAAUUGACUUGGUAACGCAGCUAACGCGUGAAGUAGACCGCCGUGGGGUGGUACGGUUCGCGAGAGUUAAACGUAACGAAGAGUUAGACGGCGNGAGAGNGCCGACGGACGACGACGAGGGAGGAGG